CAUGUCUAUAUUUAACGUAGUCAUGGACAAAGAGAAUCGAACUAGAAGUGGAUUCUAGAAGUGGAAAAACAUGUAGAACUAACAUAUUAAAUAGACAUUUUGGUGAAUAUAUUAACAUUCGCACUGUAGUCAAAUGUGUCCCCCCCAUAUCAGAGUCACUCCUACGCCCUUGACUAGUUGGUCUGGUUGGGUUCUGCCCCGUCUUCCUGGUUGGUACCACUACCACCUCCUCCCAGAUGCCUGGUAGUUUCCCCUCCUCUCACUCUGUUGAACAGGUCCAGUACCUUGUAAAGACCACUUCCUACUGUACACACUAUGAAGUAGGUGUGCACGAUAUAUUGACUCAAUACCGUUAUUACAAUAGCAUGUAGAGCAGGAUCAGAAUCGACAAUGCAGCAGAAAGUACACAUUAUUCAGUUUAUUUUGUGGAGAGGUGCGUCCGUUGGCUGUGUGGCUUAGUUCAAUUUAGGGCCCAAUUGAAACCGCUUUAUAAUGACCACGUUUCAUUGGCCAUUUGCCCUGUCACAUGCAAGUGUGAGCGCACGUGUCCACAACUCGAACAUACCCUAUGGAGCAUACCAUGUGACGUGUGUGUAUACUGUACCCGACAGCGUGUGAGUGAAGAGAGAGAGACAGCAAAAAAAAGAAAAGACAGAGAGAGAAAGAGACAGAGAGAGUGUCUUGAAACCACAGCUAAACAAAUGCACAUCAUAUCAUAAUCCAACCCAUUCCUUAAUGUGACACGGUGCAGUCAGAAAUAACAUGGUGCCUUCUGGGAUUCCACUUUAGUAAUGGAAGCUGCAUGGAAGGACAUCAGUAGGAAGGAACCCCUGGACCGUCUGUUUCACCCCCACUUUAUUUUAUUCCCACAGCAUUUGACAUCCUGAACCACCUACAGUUCAGGAUUUCAACAAUCAUCCCAAACAAGGAAAUAUUGUAAAUAGAAAAUAUGGUUCUUUAAAACAAACAGAGAAAUCCUUCCCCCUGUUUCCGAGUUUUCAAAAGAAUGGUGAGAGUUGAAGAACUAUAGCCCUCUGACCAAAAUAAAUAACGAGAUACAUUUCAGUUGGUUCGUUGUCAUUAAAUGUGAGGGCCCCUUGCUUGUUUAGAAUAGAGGUCUAUCUGAAUGAGUUUACGUUGUAUAAUAAUAACUAAUAACACCUACAUAAUUUAUGUAUAUGUUGUACCUUUACCAUUCUACUGAGCCUUAAUGUCUUAGUUUCCUGGUUUGAUUAGGUUUGAGGUUUGUAUACCAUGUUCUGUCUAUUUAUAUUAAUAUGUGGAGAUGAUGUGGACAUAAAUUGGGACUCUUUUGCUUAGUCACUACAUUUGUUAGUGAAUGGUGAUUCGCCCUCUUAAUUAUUUUAUCUAUUUAUUUCUGCAUCCGCCUCUCCACGUGUUAUUUACUAUGAUUAUGACCACGGGUGGUUGUUGGGUUCCUGCAGGGAUGUGACUCUGCACCGACAUAUCAACCAUGUGUAUCUGGGGAAAGGGAGGGGAACAGACGCUGUAGGAGUUUUAGGGGGGGGUUGAUUAGACUGUGGUGGUGGGAGGGAAACUUGGGUGAGCAUAGAGUGUGUAUUUGUUUGAAAUGUAACCUCUUUUCUGCUUUAUAAACCUGCUUGUACAGAUUUUUUCUAUAUUUUCAUCACUGUUGGUUACUUUUUAUUUGGAUUCUCAUGACUAAUAUUCCAGUGAUGACGUGGAAUAUACAAGGUGCUCACACUCACACGGAACAAGCAAUAUGUCUUGAGUUUAUUCAAAGGAAAUAAGUUAUAUUGCUUUAAUACAGGAAUCUCACUUAUUGGAAGAGGAGGUGCAUACAUUUAGCAAUUCUGCUUUUCAUGUUGUAGCUUCUUCUUCUGCUUUGAACAAAACCAAAGGUGUGUCAGUUGUAGUCCGCAGGGCCUUGGAUAUUAAUAUGGUAAUAUUCUGGUAAUGAUGAUAGAGGCAGGAUUGCUUUUAUAAAAACGAUAUUGUUUGGCCAAAGAAUGGCUUUGGUAUCUAUAUAUGCUCCAACUAUAUUUGAGAGAACAUUCUUUAUCUCCUUAUCUAAUAUAUUGACUUAGUUGACAGAUUUUAAGUUGGUCAUAGGAGCAGACAUGAAUGCUAUUAGAAAUUCAAAUCUAGACAGAUCUAAUCCAAAAACUACCAACUCACAAACUGUGGCUUCCAUAGCCUUGCAAUGUUUUCUUUCUGAUCUUAGUCUGGUUGAUCAGAAAAUCCACUGGCAAAAAUCAA
ensembl:lncRNA